GUACAAGAGCACAGCUCCUUGCUCCUAAGAACUUGCAGCGUGAAAUUCGCAGAGGAGAAACAGAGGAAGGAGAAAGUUCCUAAAGAUCUGUGGAAAAGUUCAAUACAAAUGUUGGACUCUCAGUAUAAAGAAAAACCCUGAAGAUCAUGUCAGCAUUCUAAAGCAUUUUCCUAUCAUUAGUUGAUGCCCUAUAUUAAACCUCAAGCCUGCAAAGCACACCCCUCAGAAAACACAAGACCGCGGAAGGAGGACAGGGAAGCUGUUGUGCUCAAAAGAAUUAAUCCAUCCUGGAAAAUCAAGAGCUGAUCAACCUCAAUACAGUAAUCAGCAUGGUUUCCACUGUAAAAGCCGUGCAUUUUCUACUUAGAACUAAAAUUUUACCCAUUACAUAUUUUCAACAAACAAACAAACAAAGGAGAAAAUGCUUCUCUAUGCCUUUGUUCUUCCUAGCCUCUUAUUUAUGGACUAGUUAAUCCUUGGGGUUCCUCCCAACUACAGUUCUGUGCUUCCUGAUUCCAUGGGCAUGUGCAGAGCCCACAAGUCAACACUCUUCAAUUGCAGCCACUGACACAAAGGAGGAAAAGCAGAACGCAUUUUUAAAAAUAUUGCAUGCCAACUGGGUAUACUUGUUGCACACAAUUUUUACUGUCAUUCUGAACUGCAUUUUCCUUCCAGCAACCAUUUUCCAGAAACAUGCUUUAAAUAUUAACUAUCAGUUGCAAAUAUCUACAGUGCAACACUUUGCCUGUCUACUCAGAAGUAAGUCUCAACACAAUUAUAGCCUCAGGUACACAUAAGAUUACAAUGCUGAAGUUUCAAAAUUCCAGUUGAAUCUGUAAUACCGUCUUUUUCAACAUUCUCCACUAAAACUAAAAUAAAUAUUGAAAAGGGUGAAAAGAAACAUUAGAGAAUAAAGUUAUGAACAAUUUUAUUUUACUAGAACACGAGUUCU